UACGGAGGGGGCUAGCGUUGUUCGGAAUUACUGGGCGUAAAGCGCACGUAGGCGGCUUUGUAAGUUAGAGGUGAAAGCCCGGGGCUCAACUCCGGAAUUGCCUUUAAGACUGCAUCGCUAGAAUUGUGGAGAGGUAAGUGGAAUUCCGAGUGUAGAGGUGAAAUUCGUAGAUAUUCGGAGGAACACCAGUGGCGAAGGCGGCUCACUGGACUGGUAUUGACGCUGAGGUGCGAAAGCGUGGGGAGCAAACAGG
rnacentral:rRNA from 1 species